UACGAAGGGUGCAAGCGUUAAUCGGAAUUACUGGGCGUAAAGCGCGCGUAGGUGGUUCGUUAAGUUAGGAGUGAAAGCCCCGGGCUCAACCUGGGAAUUGCUUCUAAAACUGGCGAGCUAGAGUAUGGUAGAGGGUGGUGGAAUUUCCUGUGUAGCGGUGAAAUGCGUAGAUAUAGGAAGGAACAUCAGUGGCGAAGGCGACCACCUGGACUGAUACUGACACUGAGGCACGAAAGCGUGGGGAGCAAACAGGAUUAGAUACCCUGGUAGUCCCU
rnacentral:rRNA from 1 species